GUAUUUAUUUAUUUAGGGCGCUUUAUAUUUUAUUGGGGCUGGAUUAACUACAAAGUGAAUGCUACAUGUGAAGGAUAGGAGGGAAUACGAGCAUUGAUCUACUAAUUUAACGGUCGAGAUUAAGUGACCUAAAAUUUCUUUUUUUAUAAUAUUAAGUUAGGUUUACAUGAUACAUCACAACGGAGCACUUAUUUAACAGGGUUUAUAUGAUACAUUACAAUGGACCACUUAUUUAACACGGUUUACAUGAUAAUUUACAACAAAGUUGUGGUACUAGUGGUAAGAAAAGGGUUAAUGUAGUUGUGUUACAUAAUAUAGCCUUGUUCGAUCCAUUCCCGAGCUCAUUACUCAUUUUUAUCUCCUUUUAGUGAUUAACCUGAACGUAUAAAUCACAACACAUUAAACAAUGCUAAAUGAAACAUGAGUGUCAGUGGGGAAACUUGACCUGAAUGACAAUUCACCUAAAGUAUUGAAGCAACUUAGUGAGUUAUCACACAUAUAUUUGAGACAUGAUGAUUCAGACACCCCCCAAACAUUAAAUGUAAGAUCAGGGGGAUAAUUAUGUGCAAUAACGAAAAUGGUUAGAUCACCAAAUCACAUGCAUAAAAACCAAACACAACAAUUGCAUUUCAAAUCUUCUUAAUCAAUGAGUGCGAGCAAGUUCUCGCCAUCCGAGAAUCAUAUGUUAACAAUUCAGUUGUGGGAUCCAAACAACCUUAUAAACGUAAGUUCUCAUCGCUCGGAAAUCAUACACUUUCAGACUAGCCUUAGCUUGCAAGGUUGACACAACUUAACAUAUAUUUCUAACAUGUAAGGUCUAGAACUAGUAAGGUAGUACACAUUAUAAUAUACUAAGCACAUUACUUAUUGUUUAAUCCAAAAAAACCACUAAAAUGUGUAUUUAUUUGCAUACAAAUUGAAUAACUAGGGCCAUAAACACAUGUAUUCUUAAAAUUGACAAUAAGAUCACCCCCCCCCCCCCCCAAACAAACAUGGAUUAAGUACCUAAAAAUAAUCUAACUACAUAAAAGAUAAUAUAAUGAUGAACUAACCUUGUUGUAGUUUAGAUCCUUCAUAAGAAAACAAUCUCACCGCAUUUUUGUAGCUUACAUCCGCUACUUGUUCUUUAGACGCAUCAAGCAAAGACGCAACAUAAGAAAGCACAAGAUGGAUAUUCGCCGGAUGAUUAAGCAUCUUUUUCGAGUCUCCGUUACUUUCAUGUUCGUCCACCAAAAUAAUAGAUUCCGAACCGUUGGGUUUGGGUAACGCAUCUGGUGCAUCGGUCUCUAGUAAAAUCCUAUCAGAAGGUACGGAUUUCACCACCUUCUUUGCCUCGGUUUCUUUCUUAUCCAUAAGAAACCCCGAGAACGAAAAAUACACCCCGAGUUUAGCAAAUUCCGGAACCAUCUCCGCAGAACCUAAGUAGGAAUGCAAGAUCACACCUUCCGGAAACGGCCCGAGAGAUUUCAUUAUAUCGAGAAGAUCACCAAACGCGCGCACACAGUGCACUGAAGCGGGCCGUUUCAGUUCUUUAGCGAGUUGAAGUUGCAAGCGGAAAAUUUCAACCUGAUCUGUGUAAUCUGUUUUUGCGUGGGACCCUUUGUCCAAACCGAUCUCUCCUACUGCAGCCGAAGGGUUUGCAGUUAACAGAUCGCGUAAAGAUGUCAGCCAGUUGGGGGUGCGGUCCGUGAUGAACCACGGGUGGAGCCCGAAUGAUGGAAUUAUACAAGGAUAGGUGUCACUCAUCUCCUUGACCAAGUGCCAGUCAUUCUCGGAGACACCAUUGACUGCAAAAUGAUGUAUGCCGUGUUCUAGAGCUGUCUUGAUGAGGUUCGGAGCCUUGUUGAAGACUCUCGGGUCUUGUAGGUGACAGUGCGCGUCGAAGAGUUUUAUCAUGGCUAUAGAAUCUAGUGUUGCUUCGCUUUCUUGAUAGAUGAUGGAUCUUUCCCUGUCCCACGGUUGAAGAAGCUGAUGAACUGCUUGGCUGUUUGAUACGCAUGGGCGUAUUAAAAAGAACCAGAGGUAAGAGAACGUACAACUCCCG
rnacentral:lncRNA from 1 species